CCUCCUGAAACAAGUAAUCAAGAAUAGGCCGUACUGCCUGGUAACAGCCUAUCCUGGAUUACUUGAACCAGGCUG
rnacentral:pre_miRNA from 11 species